rnacentral:rRNA from 1 species
GUGUCAGCAGCCGCGGUAAUACGUAGGGUGCAAGCGUUGUCCGGAAUUAUUGGGCGUAAAGAGCUCGUAGGCGGCUUGUCGCGUCGGCUGUGAAAACCCGGGGCUCAACCCCGGGCCUGCAGUCGAUACGGGCAGGCUAGAGUCCGGUAGGGGAGACUGGAAUUCCUGGUGUAGCGGUGAAAUGCGCAGAUAUCAGGAGGAACACCGGUGGCGAAGGCGGGUCUCUGGGCCGGAACUGACGCUAAGGAGCGAAAGCGUGGGGAGCGAACAGGAUUAGAAACCCGCGUAGUCC